rnacentral:lncRNA from 1 species
CUGGCUGUUGAUGUAUCCUUUAAUUUGAAUACGAAUAGAGAAAAAAAUAGAAUAACAAUUACAAACGGUGAGACACCUUUAUACCUAAAUAUAUGAACGCUGGAUAACAAUUACCGAUACAUGUCUUACAGUAAUGCUAAUUCACACUUCGCAAACGGCAAUAGGUCACGUUCGGUUGUCAGUAAUAUUUCACGUUACAAAUUAAAACCAGAUUCUAU